AUGUAUUUUCAAAUUGAAAUACAAACUCCUCAUUCAUUCUUCAUCAAAUAUAUAGCUUUUCAAACUUGUAACAAAAGCGAUUCUCAAAAUGUCAUAUUGUAUUCUUACGAUUACGUUUCUCCUUGAUUUUAACUUAUAUAGGGAAUCACUGGAGCGUGACAGCAGCGGGCCCUCUUAGGCAGUCAGUGGGCCCCUACUUAUGAAAAAUUCUAGAUCCGCGAAUGGAUACUACCGCAGAGGUAAAACCAUGCACAUUUGGGUUAUUGUACACGAAAUGCAUGCUACAAUUCAUUUUUGUUGAUUUUAGACCCUUUGGAACUCUAUGUGGGCUAUUUCAGCAACUAGGCAAAAAUCCCCAAACUAGAUACACGGUUAGAUUCAGCAUGUCAACGAAUUCCAAAUAUCUAUAUUAAAGGACUUUUGUCUAUAAAUUUGGACCCC
rnacentral:lncRNA from 1 species